AGGAAUUACGCAUGAAAAAUAUAAUCAAACUGCUUAUAAAAGACAAAUUCGUAGAAGAUUCAGUGUCCAUCAAUUUUAACAUUGACGUGGUGAUAGAGAAAACUUCAGAAUGAGAUUUAUUUUACUGGCUAUGUUGAUUCUUCUGGCUCAGCAUUCUUGCGAGGGAUGUUGCAUCUGUAACUGCAAUAUGGCCUAUGGAUCCUGCAUAAUGCGAUGUAACAAUAUAAUAGAUUUUUGGGAAAAAUACAACUGCAUCAUUGAAUGUCAGAAUAUAUAUGCUGCGUGUCUGAGAAGUUGUGGUAGAGGAAGAUGAAUGGUUUUUUUCUAUGGCAGAAAAUAUUUAUGUGUUGAAUAUUGUAAACACACAAUUAAUAGUUCAUCUUCUAUUCAAUAAAUCUUCUUGUUAAAA